rnacentral:ncRNA from 1 species
AUCAAAUAAAUAAUUUUUCGUCGUAUAACGUCGGGGAUAUGGCCCGAAAGUCUCUACCAAGCUACCGUAAAUAGCUUGACUACGCAGGUUUUUUAGAAGUUC